rnacentral:pre_miRNA from 8 species
UCAGUUUCUUUACUGUUGUUGUUGACCAGGGCCCUUUUUCUGUUGUACUACUGUGCAGUCAGAUGAGCAGUGCAAUAUUAAAAGGGCAUUGGCUGACAAAAAAAGAGGAAAGAAAGAAA